AAUUGCCUUCUCCAAAAUGUAUGUUUAAACCAAUACGGACAAACCAUUGGUAAUUAACACAAAUGCAUCAAUCUUAGUACCAUCCCUAGAAAACUCUAAGAAUUCAAGUGUUAAUCUUACACCAGAACAUUGCAGGAAAGAUUAAAAGAGAGGGAAGGAACUCGGCAAAUCAUAGUCCCGCCUGUUUACCAAAAACAUCGCCUCCUGAUAAACAUAGGAGGUCCAGCCUGCCCAGUGACAACGUUCAACGGCCGCGGUACCCUAACCGUGCGAAGGUAGCAUAAUCACUUGUUCUUUAAAUGGGGACUCGUAUCAAAGGCACCACGAGGACUAUACUGUCUCCCCUCUCCAAUCAGUGAAACUGAUCCCCCCGUGAAGAAGCGGGGAUUUAACUAUAAGACGAGAAGACCCCAUGGAGCUUUAGACUUAAUAUACACCCUUGCUCAACAUAACAGUAAAGCUAUUAAGAUAUGUAUAUUGUCUUCGGUUGGGGGGACCGCGGAGUAAAACUUAACCUCCACGACAAACGGGUUAACACCCUUAUCCAAGAAACACAUUUCUAAGAGUCAAUAAAUUGUUGUUUAUGACCCAUUUUAUGAUUAACGAACCAAGUUACCCUGGGGAUAACAGCGCAAUCUACUUCAAGAGCCCCUAUCGACAAGUAGGUUUACGACCUCGAUGUUGG
rnacentral:rRNA from 1 species